rnacentral:rRNA from 1 species
GAUGAACGCUGGCGGCGUGCCUAAUACAUGCAAGUCGAGCGAACGGACGAGAAGCUUGCUUCUCUGAUGUUAGCGGCGGACGGGUGAGUAACACGUGGAUAACCUACCUAUAAGACUGGGAUAACUUCGGGAAACCGGAGCUAAUACCGGAUAAUACUUUGAACCGCAUGGUUCAGAAGUGAAAGACGGUCUUGCUGUCACUUAUAGAUGGAUCCGCGCUGCAUUAGCUAGUUGGUAAGGUAACGGCUUACCAAGGCGACGAGGCAUAGCCGACCUGAGAGGGUGAUCGGCCCCACGAGAACUGAGACACGGUCCAGACUCCUACGGGGGGCAGCAGUAGGGAAUCUUGCGCAAGGGGAGAAAACCUGACGGAGCAACGCCGCGUGAGUGAUGAAGGUCUUCGGAUCGUAGACGUCUGUUAUUAGGGAAGAACAUAUGUGUAAGUAACUGUGCACAGCUUGACGGUACCUAAACAGAAAGCAACGGCUAACUACGUG